GAUGAAGAACGCAGCGAAAUGCGAUAAGUAAUGUGAAUUGCAGAAUCCAGUGAAUCAUCGAAUCUUUGAACGCACAUUGCGCCCGCCAGCAUUCUGGCGGGCAUGCCUGUUCGAGCGUCAUUUCAACCCUCGACCUCCCUUUGGGGAAGUUGGCGUUGGGGACCGGCAGCACACCGCCGGCCCUGAAAUGGAGUGGCGGCCCGUCCGCGGCGACCUCUGCGUAGUAAACCAACUCGCACCGGAACCCCGACGUGGCCACGCCGUAAAACACCCAACUUCUGAAAGUUGACCUCGGAUCAGGUAGGAAUACCCGCUGAACUUAAGCAUAUCAAUAAGCGGAGGA
rnacentral:misc_RNA from 1 species